UCGCGAGCUAUAAUGCAAGUCGAGCGCAGGAAGCUCACGGAACUCUUCGGAGGGAAGUGAAGGGAAUGAGCGGCGGACGGGUGAGUAACACGUAAGGAACCUGCCCCAAGGAUUGGGAUAACUCCGAGAAAUCGGAGCUAAUACCGAAUAGUUCUUCAGACCGCAUGGUCUGAUGAUGAAAGGCGCUUCGGCGUCACCUUGGGAUGGCCUUGCGGUGCAUUAGCUAGUUGGUGGGGUAAUGGCCCACCAAGGCGACGAUGCAUAGCCGACCUGAGAGGGUGAUCGGCCACACUGGGACUGAGACACGGCCCAGACUCCUACGGGAGGCAGCAGUAGGGAAUCUUCCACAAUGGACGAAAGUCUGAUGGAGCAACGCCGCGUGAGUGAUGAAGGUUUUCGGAUCGUAAAACUCUGUUGUAAGGGAAGAACAAGUACGAGAGGGAAUGCUCGUACCUUGACGGUACCUUGCGAGAAAGCCACGGCUAACUACGUGCCAGCAGCCGCGGUAAUACGUAGGUGGCAAGCGUUGUCCGGAAUUAUUGGGCGUAAAGCGCGCGCAGGCGGCCUUUUAAGUCUGAUGUGAAAGCCCCCGGCUCAACCGGGGAGGGUCAUUGGAAACUGGAAGGCUUGAGUACAGAAGAGAAGAGUGGAAUUCCAUGUGUAGCGGUGAAAUGCGUAGAGAUGUGGAGGAACACCAGUGGCGAAGGCGACUCUUUGGUCUGUAACUGACGCUGAGGCGCGAAAGCGUGGGGAGCAAACAGGAUUAGAUACCCUGGUAGUCCACGCCGUAAACGAUGAGUGCUAGGUGUUGGGGGGUUUCCGCCCCUCAGUGCUGAAGCUAACGCAUUAAGCACUCCG
rnacentral:rRNA from 1 species